UUUCUGAACAUAACAUCUGAUGGAGCCAGGACCUGCACAGAGCUCCCCUCUCUGCCUUUGAAUGGGCAUCUCUUCCUCCAGCCUUCAGAUUUUGAACACUUCCUUUCCAUAGCCAAACCUCAACCCCGCUUUCAACUGGAAAACAAAACAAACACACAAACAAAAGCCCUGACUGUCCUCGACAAACAAGCUAAGGUGCAGGAGGUGUUCAGCUCUCUCAGGUGGCAGAGAGCAGAGAGACUCCCAGGUUACUACAAGAUACUGAAUAUCGUUCCCUGUGUUAUACAGUAGAAACUUGUUCAUCUACAGAAAACUCUUUAAUGUAUCCUUUGCUUAUAUGAAAUUAAGGCAGAGUCUGAACUGAGAGGCUGGUCAAAGAGAUGUUAUAUUGUUGAGCGCAAUGAAGAGAAAGGAGAGUGACAUCUUCUGAUACCAACAUCAAACUGGGAUGAGCUGUUUGUGGAGCCCCACGUGCACUGGCCGCUCCUUCCAACUUAAACCUG